GAAGUCAAUUAUUACUUAAUAUACACAUGCAAGUAUCCGCUCCCCUGUGAAAACGCCCUUCAACCCCCAUUAGGGACAAGGAGCCGGUAUCAGGCACAACCUAUGCCCAAGACACCUAGCUUUGCCACACCCACAAGGGAUUUCAGCAGUGAUUAACAUUGAAUAUUAGCGCAAGCUUGAUUCAGUUAAAGUAAAACAGAGCCGGCCAAUCUGGUGCCAGCCGCCGCGGUUACACCACGUGGCUCUAAUUGACCCCAUUCCGGCGUAAAGCGUGAUUAAAGUCAUCUUCUAAUAGAGUUGAAUUAAAACUAAGCUGUGACACGCUUGUUUUUAAGAAAUGCCCAAACGAAAGUUACUCUAAUUUAACCAACUUGA
rnacentral:rRNA from 1 species